CCCAGUCCUCAGUCAGCUGGCAGACUGGUGUCUGUCAGUGUUACAGGGCUGGUAGAGGAAGUUCUGCAGGCGCCUCGAUGCAUGCUCGGUUCUAGAGCGUGUCUGUGAGGUGCUGCAGAAGAACGCAGGUCUGUCAGAUCUGUCCUGAUCCACUGCAGUUCAGAUGCAGCAGAGCUGCACACGCC
rnacentral:snoRNA from 1 species